UCGGAUAUGGUGUAGUGGCUAACGUCGCUGACUCCCAUUCUUGAGUCCUUAAUUGCCCGGGAUUCGAUUCCCCGUUUCCGAG